AGCGAACGCUGGCGGCAGGCUUAACACAUGCAAGUCGAGCGCCCCGCAAGGGGAGCGGCAGACGGGUGAGUAACACGUGGGAACGUGCCUUUUGGUUCGGAACAACCCAGGGAAACUUGGGCUAAUACCGGAUAAGCCCUUACGGGGAAAGAUUUAUCGCCAAAAGAUCGGCCCGCGUCUGAUUAGCUAGUUGGUGGGGUAAUGGCCCACCAAGGCUACGAUCAGUAGCUGGUCUGAGAGGAUGAUCAGCCACAUUGGGACUGAGACACGGCCCAAACUCCUACGGGAGGCAGCAGUGGGGAAUAUUGGACAAUGGGGGCAACCCUGAUCCAGCCAUGCCGCGUGAGUGAUGAAGGCCUUAGGGUUGUAAAGCUCUUUUAGCAGGGAAGAUAAUGACGGUACCUGCAGAAAAAGCCCCGGCUAACUUCGUGCCAGCAGCCGCCGUAA
rnacentral:rRNA from 1 species